GAGUUUGAUCCUGGCUCAGAAUGAACGCUGGCGGCGUGCUUAACACAUGCAAGUCGUACGAGAAAUCCUUGGCUUGCCAGGGAGAGUAAAGUGGCGCACGGGGGAGUAACGCGUGGGUAAUCUACCCUUGGAUUCAGGAUAACAUUUCGAAAGGGGUGCUAAUACUGGAUAACAUCCUGAUGGUUUCGGCCAUAAGGAUCAAAGAUAGCCUCUACAUGUAAGCUAUUGUACAGGGAUGAGCCCGCGUACCAUUAGCUAGUUGGUGGGGUAAGAGCCUACCAAGGCAACGAUGGUUAGCUGGUCUGAGAGGAUGAUCAGCCACACUGGAACUGAAACACGGUCCAGACUCCUACGGGAGGCAGCAGUGAGGAAUUUUGCGCAAUGGGGGAAACCCUGACGCAGCAACGCCGCGUGAGUGAAGAAGGCUUUCGGGUCGUAAAGCUCUGUCAAGAGGGAAGAAAGUGGAAGGUGGUAAUACUGUUUUCUAUUGACGGUACCUCUGAAGGAAGCACCGGCUAACUCCGUGCCAGCAGCCGCGGUAAUACGGGGGGUGCAAGCGUUAUUCGGAUUUAUUGGGCGUAAAGAGCGCGUAGCGGUUUAUCAAGUCAGAUGUGAAAGCCCUGGGCUCAACCUGGGAAGUGCAUUUGAAACUAGUA
rnacentral:rRNA from 1 species